rnacentral:tmRNA from 1 species
GGGGGUGAAUAAGGAUCGACAUACAUAGUAAAGAUGGUAGCUUUGCUCGGUCAGAUACCACCGUUAAGAGUUUAUAAUUUAGAUGCAAACGAUAAUUUUGCUGCUAAUGGUAAUGUUGUAGCAUUAGUUGCUUAAACUAAGCUAUAAUCUUAUUACUAUAAGCACGGUUUGGGAACGCCGGGUAACAGAAAGUUCCCCAA